GAUGAACGCUAGCGACAGGCUUAACACAUGCAAGUCGAGGGGCAGCACAGGUAGCAAUACCGGGUGGCGACCGGCGCACGGGUGAGUAACGCGUAUGCAACUUGCCUAUCAGAGGGGGAUAACCCGGCGAAAGUCGGACUAAUACCGCAUGAAGCAGGGAUCCCGCAUGGGAAUAUUUGCUAAAGAUUCAUCGCUGAUAGAUAGGCAUGCGUUCCAUUAGGCAGUUGGCGGGGUAACGGCCCACCAAACCGACGAUGGAUAGGGGUUCUGAGAGGAAGGUCCCCCACAUUGGUACUGAGACACGGACCAAACUCCUACGGGAGGCAGCAGUGAGGAAUAUUGGUCAAUGGCCGAGAGGCUGAACCAGCCAAGUCGCGUGAGGGAUGAAGGUUCUAUGGAUCGUAAACCUCUUUUAUAAGGGAAUAAAGUGCGGGACGUGUCCCGUUUUGUAUGUACCUUAUGAAUAAGGAUCGGCUAACUCCGUGCCAGCAGCCGCGGUAAUACGGAGGAUACGAGCGUUAUCCGGAUUUAUUGGGUUUAAAGGGUGCGUAGGCGGCCUUUUAAGUCAGCGGUGAAAGUCUGUGGCUCAACCAUAGAAUUGCCGUUGAAACUGGGGGGCUUGAGUAUGUUUGAGGCAGGCGGAAUGCGUGGUGUAGCGGUGAAAUGCAUAGAUAUCACGCAGAACCCCGAUUGCGAAGGCAGCCUGCCAAGCCAUGACUGACGCUGAUGCACGAAAGCGUGGGGAUCAAACAGGAUUAGAUACCCUGGUAGUCCACGCAGUAAACGAUGAUCACUAGCUGUUUGCGAUACACCGAAAGCGGCCAGGGAAGGCGUAAGUGAUCCCCCCGGGGAGUACGCCGCCACGGGGGAACUCAAAAGAAAUGACGGGGGGCCCGCCAAGCGGAGGGAACAUGUGUUUUAUUUGAUGAUACGCGAGGACGCUACCCCGGUUUGAACGCAUUCGGACCGAGGUCGAAACACCUUUUCUAGCAAUAGCCGUCUGCGAGGUGCUGCAUGGUUGUCGUCAGCUCGUGCCGUGAGGUGUCGGCUUAAGUGCCAUAACGAGCGCAACCCUCGCCACUAGUUACUAACAGGUAAAGCUGAGGACUCUGGUGGGACUGCCAGCGUAAGCUGCGAGGAAGGCGGGGAGGACGUCAAAUCAGCACGGCCCUUACAUCCGGGGCGACACACGUGUUACAAUGGCGUGGACAAAGGGAAGCCACCCGGCGACAGGGAGCGAAUCCCCAAACCACGUCUCAGUUCGGAUCGGAGUCUGCAACCCGACUCCGUGAAGCUGGAUUCGCUAGUAAUCGCGCAUCAGCCAUGGCGCGGUGAAUAAGUUCCCGGGCCUUGCAC
rnacentral:rRNA from 1 species